AUGUGAUCUCCCUUGAGACACUCUUGUCUCUAGCUAACAGAGUGAGCAGAUUUUAAAUAUUUUGCAUUUGUUAUUAUGAGUUGUUGGUGAAAUCUCAAGAAAUGAAGGCAUGGCUGAACAAUCCCUUGCUUUGCUUUGUUUGAAUCCGGCUCCUGAGCGUUUUACAGCAAAGUUACUCACUGUGAGUUUUGGAUGAACCUCAGCUGGGAGAUGAUUCAUUUACCGAAGGUAUAUGCUUCUCUACCAGGUAACCAUCCCAGGCUGCUGUCUGAAGAUCUCUGUAAACACCAGUCUGGCAGCCUGCAUGUGCCAGUGGUCCACAGCUCUUGCGACUGCCGCUUGGGAGUGAGCUCUUCAGGCCUGAGCUGUUGUCACCUACAAGGCUCCCCAUAGGGAAAUGUUCCUCUUGUAGAGACCAAAUUAACACACACUUCCAAGAUGCAUAUGGCUAAGGGAUUAAUCUUGGACUUCUAGGGUAGGAUUUUCAAGUGUUCACUGAUGCCCUAACUCCAAUUUAUUUUACCAUUAACUUCCACGGGAGCAGCUAAGAUAACCCUGAACUAUCUUGCAAAUCGCACUCCUAGUGUUAUUUUGUUCCAUCUGUGGUACUUGUAUGGCCCCUAGCACCACAAUAUAUGAGUGCCUCCCAAUGUAUAUCUCCUCAUAAUACCUUUUGUGAAGUAGGGAAGUGCUACCAUCUCCAUUUUACAGAUGGGGAAUGGAGGCACAUAAGCUGACCCAGCUCACACAGGAAGUUUGUGAUGGAGCAGGCUAGUGCCUAAACACUGGACCAUCCUUGUUCUGUAUGCAUCAGAUUGUAUUUAAAUACAAUGAGAAUACCAUAUAACAAACAACAUCCCAAACUAAGUAAUGAGACAACAGAUCAUGCCCAAUACAUCAGAAUACCCAAGAUGGGUAAUAGUCAUAAUGGAACAGACGAAUUCUGCACUCUUUCACUGAAGUGACCCAAAUUCAAUUCAAUAUUA